UAUUUUUUUAAUAUACAGGGUGGUCCAGCACAAAUCUGAAAAGAAUAGUAAUAAUAGUAAAUAAUAAAAAUAGUACAUCCUGAAUAGAACUACCUCAGUCCAGUUGGAAGUUAUGAACUUUACAUCUUUUUUUGAAAAAUCCCGACCUUAAGCCAUAAAUAGUUUUUUUUUUUCACGAUCUAUAGCAUCUGUUCCACUUUUGAACCACAUUUUUGAAUUCUGCAUUAAAUUUCAUAUAAGAAGGAGCUAUUUUUAAUCUUAUCAAACGCCAAUGUUCUUUACUAAUUCAACCCUAUAUGAAAAAUUUUCAAAAAAGGAGAAACUUUUGAUCAAUUUCCAAAAAUGUUGUUAAAUUUUUCAACAAACAUAUUUGUAGGGGUGCGAAACAUAAAAACUUCUUCAAUUAAUAAGCUUUCUUAUGGUGUACUCGAAGUUCCAAAAAUGUCAAGCCUUCAAUGGUAAAAUCAACCUGGAAUGUUAAAAAACCUGGUUCAAACAUGGUUGGGGUAAUAAUGCCAUUUCCUUCCGUGCUGCCCAAUACAAAAUAGGAGAGGAUUGAACAUGUCUCGAACUCCAGCAGUGUUAACCUUGAAUUUACAAGAGAGAUAGAUUGGUAUAAACCGCCGCAUCUCAAUCUGCUAGACUUUUUUUUGUUUGUGGCCCCCUGAAGGAAAUUGGGUAGAAAACACCAGUAAAUACUGCAGAUGAAUUAUGGACAAGAAUUGAAGACGUAGCCCGAUUUCUCAAGUUCAAAUCAACUACAAAAGUUACUUUGGACAACUGAGAAAAUUAUGCAGAGUGCCCAUUAGGCACCACGUAAGGCAUUUUGAACGUUUGUUGUGCUCUUCUUUUUUUUUAAGUAUUUUAUUUCAUAAUAAAGGGACUCGACUUAAUAAUGUUACAUAAUUCAUUUCUUUUUUAAAUCCCACUUCAGCAACAGUGCUGUUUAAAAAUUUUGAAAUAGUACAGUACACUCCUCUUCUGUAUGCGCUAAAUUUUCACAUUUGAAUCAUGUUUUUUGGAUUUCGAGUACACCAUAAGAAAGUUUAUUAAAUGAAGAAGUUUUUAUGUUUGUUGAAAAAUUAAAAAAAAAAAAAUUGGAAAUUAUCAAGUUUCUCCUUUUUUAAAAUUCUUCAUAUUGGGUUGAAUUAAUAAAGAAAAUUGGCGUUUGAUGAGAUUAAAAAUAGCUCCUUCUUAUAUGAAAUGUAAUGCAGAAUUCAAAAUUGUAGUUCAAAAUUUGAACAGAUGCUAGAUCUUGAAAAAAUUAGAAUUUAUGGCUUAAGGUCGGGAUUUAAAAAAAAAAUUAAUUAAAAAAAUAAAUAAAAAAAGUCGUAACUUCUGAUCGGAUUGAGAUAGGACAGUUCGGUUGGUUGCAUUUUACUCUAUUUAGGAUGUACUUACUACAACCCAAUGUUUUUGGGUUUGUGCUGGACCACCCUGUAUAUAAAAUACAAAAGUACCCUUCUUAACCAAACAAAACGGGGAUGGAGGCAUUUUGCAUAAUUUUCAGAUAAAUCAUGGAUAGUGUUGGCAUGAGUAAAAAAUGCACAAAAAAUAUAAUUCCAAUUAAAACUAAACGAUCUAUGCAUUUUACGUGCAAAUAUGAAGUACAGUAUACAAUGUAGUCCAAGGCUUUCCAAACUUUUUAGCCUGCAGACCACUUUCGCAGAACAAAAUCCAGGGCGGACCCAUCUCAUUCCAGUAUUUAAAAUUAGAUAGUUACUUGUAGUAUAUAGUAUAUAUAGUAAACAUUGAUUUUCAUCAAGCAUGCAAGAUACAAUACCGUUAACACACAGUUUUAUUAGGGUUUCAGCGAUAUGAGCUUUACCUGCCUGUGCCACUUGAUUACAUAUCAAGUAAAACGUUUUCAUAGAGUUUUUAUUGACAGGUUUUGCAUGAGUUUUAAUGAAGGUUUGAGAAGUGGCCAGUUCAGUGUGCUUCCUCAUGAAAAAAUCAGCCUGUUUCUCCCUCAGUUCUGGGAGUGUAACCUCAAAAUCAGGACACAAUUUAAUUGGAACCAUUGAACAAUUUGGAAGGACUUUCGCGCUGAGAUUUACCCUCAUCAGCCUUCAAAAAUCACAAAUCUAAUUGGCUGUCGUAGUACUAAUACUUCUUAGAUAUUACACUUCCCCUGGCUGUUUGACCUAUUCGGAGACUUGUAAAAUUUGACCGGCUGGAUUCUGCUGAGGUGCUUCAUCUGAAGGCUGUUCUUCAUUUGGAUUGUCAGGAAUGUUCUCAUUGGAAGGUUGUCCUUCCACCUUAUAAAUUACAAUUCGGAGCUUUCCUGGCUGUGAAUGCGAAGGAGAAACUGUAUACUUCCUCAGAGAUCCUGACUUCAACCACCGAUCCAUAUUCCAUACUGGAGUGAGAAUGGCACAAGUACACUCAAGAGAGAAAUUUGAGGUUUUUAGUUGGCACGAGCCAAAGUCAAUGGCACGAGCGGG